rfam:TPA: Bos taurus chromosome 17, whole genome shotgun sequence.
UCCCUGGUGGUCCAGUGGUUAGGACUCUGUGCUUUCACUGCAGGGGAUAUGGGUUUGAUCCCUGGUCAGGGAA